rnacentral:snRNA from 1 species
AGCUUUGCGCAGAGGCGGUGUCGUACCCUAUGAAGUUCAAACUGAGGGGCGACUAUUGCUAGUUGAAACUCCGGCGUCGCCCCACUAUAUAUAUAUAUAUAUAUAUAUAUAUAUAUAUAUAUAUAUAUAUAUAUAUAUA